AAAGGGUCUUGUUUCAUUGUGAUGAUUAGUAAUCUGGCUAAGAACUCUGUCCUGUACUAUUUCAUCAUUCAAGUUGUACCCAUUUCUGCCACCACAGAAGACACGAUGUAUUCGUUUCUCCCAGGAAGUCAUCUGACUUAAACCGUCAUUCAUCAUUAUCCUCCUCUUUUGCAGAUAGAAUUUGAAGCAUCUUAUAUGCAAGCUGUGACUGGGAACAUGCACACACACUCUGCACCUUGAAAUUAGAAAAGGGUCUACUGAUGUUAGAAUUUGGCCUUUUCAUUUUUACCUUGAGAAGGAAACACCGAAACAGCAAAGCUCAAUUAGCCUCACCUUUUGGUCAACUCUGGGGCAGAUCCCCACAAAGGCACAAACCAUGAUGCUGACAUAAGAACUCCUCCCACAUGCACCAGCAGAGGAACUUGUAAGCGCCAUUCGAAUACUCAAAUUUGUUAAUGUGUCACUACAAAUAAAAUUGUAUUAGUAAUGACAAGUGCCUUGUAAAGUUACAAAUUGAGUAUUACGUUCUCCAUUUAUCAACUCAGAAGCCUUAUCCGCUAUAUGGAUGCAAGAAUUGUGAUCUUCUUUUCAGAAUCCUU
rnacentral:sRNA from 1 species